GCAGUGCAGAAGCUGACACAAAGCUUAAGAAGAAAAUUUGCUGUGCCUGCCCCGAAACAAAGAAGCUUAGGGAUGAAUGUGUCGUGCAAAAUGGAUAAAGAGGAUUAAGGAAAGAAUUGAAGACAAGGAUUUCCAAUGAAGUGAGCUUAAUUUCAUCAAUUUCUUUCAGACGCAUGUGAAUAAUAUUCAUCUGCUUUGUGUCACUGUUAUGUUCUGUUUUCAGGAUCUUGUAUAAUAAAGGAAAUUUCUUGAGUUCAUGAGCAUUAAGCAUGCUUUCACUUGCUAACUCACAUAAUACCUAUUCAAAUA